GCGGAUGUGGCGAAACAGGAAGACGCGCUGGUUCGAGAGGCCAGUGGUCCACGACCGUGAGGGUUCGACUCCCUCCUUCCGCA
rnacentral:tRNA from 1 species